rnacentral:rRNA from 1 species
AGAGUUUGAUCCUGGCUCAGGAUGAACGCUAGCGGCAGGCUUAAUACAUGCAAGUCGAGGGGCAGCACGGGUAGCAAUACCUGGUGGCGACCGGCGCACGGGUGCGUAACGCGUAUGUAAUCUACCAUUAACCGGGGAAUAGCCCAGAGAAAUCUGGAUUAAUGCCCCAUAGUAUUAUCGAAAGGCAUCUUUUGAUAAUUAAAGCUCAGGCGGUUUUUGAUGAACAUGCGUGUCAUUAGUUUGUUGGUGAGGUAACGGCUCACCAAGACUACGAUGACUAGGGGGUCUGAGAGGAUGAUCCCCCACACUGGUACUGAGACACGGACCAGACUCCUACGGGAGGCAGCAGUAAGGAAUAUUGGGCAAUGGAGGCAACUCUGACCCAGCCAUCCCGCGUGCAGGAUGACGGCCCUAUGGGUUGUAAACUGCUUUUGUACCUGAAGAAUAGGCCCAACGAGUUGGGAUUUGCCGGUAAGGUAUGAAUAAGCAUCGGCUAACUCCGUGCCAGCAGCCGCGGUAAUACGGAGGAUCCAAGCGUUAUCCGGAUUUACUGGGUUUAAAGGGUGCGUAGGCGGAUUGAUAAGUCAGUGGUGAAAGCCUGCAGCUUAACUGCAGAACUGCCAUUGAUACUGCCAGUCUGGAGUAUGGUUGAGGUAGCUGGAAUGUGUCAUGUAGCGGUGAAAUGCUUAGAGAUGACACAGAACACCGACGGCGAAGGCAGGUUACUAAACUGAUACUGACGCUGAUGCACGAAAGCGUGGGGAGCGAACAGGAUUAGAUACCCUGGUAGUCCACGCCGUAAACGAUGCUCACUCGCUGUUUGCGAUACACAGCAAGCGGCCAAGCGAAAGCAUUAAGUGAGCCACCUGGGGAGUACGAUCGCAAGGUUGAAACUCAAAGGAAUUGACGGGGGCCCGCACAAGCGGAGGAACAUGUGGUUUAAUUCGACGCAACGCGAAGAACCUUACCUGGGCUUAAAUGUAGAGCGACAGAGAUUGUGAAAGCAGUCCUUCUUCGGACGAUCUACAAGGUGCUGCAUGGUUGUCGUCAGCUCGUGCCGUGAGGUGUUAGGUUAAGUCCUGCAACGAGCGCAACCCUUACCUUUAGUUGCCAGCAUGUAAUGAUGGGGACUCUAACGAGACUGCCUACGCAAGUAGUGAGGAAGGUGGGGAUGACGUCAAAUCAGCACGGCCCUUAUGUCCAGGGCGACACACGUGCUACAAUGGCCGAUACAAAGGGCAGCUACCAGGUGACUGGAUGCGAAUCUUUAAAAUCGGUCUCAGUUCGGAUCGGAGUCUGCAACUCGACUCCGUGAAGUCGGAUUCGCUAGUAAUCGCGCAUCAGCCAUGGCGCGGUGAAUACGUUCCCGGGCCUUGUACACACCGCCCGUCAAGCCAUGGAAGUUGGGGGUGCCUAAAGUUCGUGACCGCAAGGAGCGACCUAGGGUAAAACCAAUGACUGGGGCUAAGUCGUAACAAGGUAACC